GGGAGCCUUACAAAUAGUCAUUGCCCAAAGAUCUCUACGCAGUCAUAACAGGACAUCGGCCUUACAGGCUCUACGAAGGAGGAGAGAGCCAGAGCUCUUGGCAUGCUUCAAAGCCACGGAGGUAUUAGCCUUACAGGCUCUACGAGAAAGGAGAAACGAGAGCGGCAGAGCUCUUGGCAUGCUUUAAAGUCACGCAGGAAUUGAAAGCUACAGCAGCAUUGAUAUCGUUCCUAGAGGACUUGCCCCCAAGGAACCCAUAAAGUUGAAACUUGUUCCCAAAACACCAUAUGGCAAAAGAGAUAGCACAACCACUGCCAUCAGAAGACCCUCUCUUUUUACCUUCAAGUGUACUCAGCAGAUC
rnacentral:misc_RNA from 1 species